UGGGGAAUAUUGGACAAUGGGCGCAAGCCUGAUCCAGCCAUGCCGCGUGAGUGAUGACGGCCUUAGGGUUGUAAAGCUCUUUCGCACGCGACGAUAAUGACGGUAGCGUGAGAAGAAGCCCCGGCUAACUUCGUGCCAGCAGCCGCGGUAAUACGAAGGGGGCUAGCGUUGUUCGGAAUCACUGGGCGUAAAGGGUGCGUAGGCGGGAUCUUAAGUCAGGGGUGAAAUCCCGAGGCUCAACCUCGGAACUGCCUUUGAUACUGGGGUCCUUGAGUCCGGAAGAGGUGAGUGGAACUGCGAGUGUAGAGGUGAAAUUCGUAGAUAUUCGCAAGAACACCGGUGGCGAAGGCGGCUCACUGGUCCGGAACUGACGCUGAGGCACGACAGCGUGGGGAGCAAACAGGAUUAGAUACCCCCGUAGUCC
rnacentral:rRNA from 1 species